AAGUCGUAACAAGGUCUCCGUAGGUGAACCUGCGGAGGGAUCAUUCACAUGAUUUACUUUUUUUAAAACAAACUGUGAACUUUAUUAUUAUUUUACUAUUCUACACAUAUUAUUAUAUGUGUUUACAUUCGAUGAACAUUAGAUAGUUGGCUUGUUUAUAUAUAUAUAUAAACUUUCUCAGCUUUGAUUUUUAUAUUAGUUUAUAAAAUAUCAACCAUAAACAUAGAAACAACUCUAUGCCCUGGAUAUCUUGGUUCUC
rnacentral:misc_RNA from 1 species